rnacentral:rRNA from 1 species
UACGGAGGGUGCGAGCGUUGUCCGGAAUCAUUGGGCGUAAAGGGCGCGUAGGUGGCCCGGUCAGUUCGUGGUGAAAGCGCGGGCUCAACCCUGCGUCGGCCAUGAAUACUGCCGCGGCUGGAGCACUGUAGAGGCAGGCGGAAUUCCGGUGUAGCGGUGGAAUGCGUAGAGAUCCGGAAGAACACCGGUGGCGAAGGCGGCCUGCUGGCAGUUGCUGGACACUGAGGCGCGACAGCGUGGGAGCAACAGG